rnacentral:rRNA from 1 species
AUACGGAGGGUGCAAGCGUUAAUCGGAAUUACUGGGCGUAAAGCGUACGUAGGCGGUUCGUUAAGUUAGAUGUGAAAGCCCCGGGCUUAACCUGGGAACUGCAUUUAAAACUGGCGAACUAGAGUUGAGUAGAGGGGAGUGGAAUUUCAGGUGUAGCGGUGAAAUGCGUAGAGAUCUGAAGGAACACCAGUGGCGAAGGCGACUCCCUGGACUCGAACUGACGCUGAGGUACGAAAGCGUGGGUAGCAAACGGGAUUAGAAACCCUAGUAGUCC